rnacentral:ncRNA from 1 species
GCUUCUUAGAGGGACUAUGGCCGUUUAGGCCAAGGAAGUUUGAGGCAAUAACAGGUCUGUGAUGCCCUUAGAU